rnacentral:lncRNA from 1 species
GCCUCAAUGAAAGAUGUAUCACUCUAAAUAGUUGGUCUGAGAAAUUGGGCUAUAAAUCGUGGAGGAACUUGGCUUCCUCCAUGACAGGCUAAUUCCAUCUACUUCCUAACAGAAUGGAAAUCAUGUAGAUGAAUUUGGUGGCACUUUAAGAGUUUACUGAUUCUGGUGACAUGGUAUCUGCAUGACAUAAAUAUAUAUAUAAAUCAGCAAGGUUAAUCUUAUUCAUUUUUUUAAGCUAUCAAUUUUAGGGAUCCCUGGUUGCCCGAUAGACUCGGAACAAAAGCCUUUUCAUAAGCCUUGAGUUUUAAAUGAGUAUUAAAUCUCCUUUUAACCCUCCUUCCCCUAAUUGUCACUUAAAAUAUAUGAGAGGUCUAAAAUUGACGUCUUAGCAACCUGAGUCUCUCCUAUCUCAGUAGAAGGUAUCAUCGUUAUCCUUUUAUGCUUAAACCAAGACCCAAGAUUUAUCCUUUUACCUCCUGAAACCUCACACCUCUUUCUCCUUCAAUUCACUAGCUGCAAACAUAUCAGAUUCGUUGUAGCUGCUCAAACAAGACAAGCCUUUUUUUCAUUUCUAGGCUUUUGAACUGAUGUCUUCCAUCAAUGUUAAGGCAUAUAUUUUAACACAUUUUUCGUAUCUCUGAAAACAGGUGCUUUACAAUCAACAGUGAUUUACAAUGAUAAUCACAUUGUUAUUUUUCUUUCUUAGAGGUAUAAUAGCGGUGCCUUAAAUCUAAUGGAAAAAUAAAAAAAGCAAAAACGAAAGCAGCCAUGUCCUUCCCUUCCCCCAUAUCCUUGUGCUCUGGCUCAGUCCUAGCCUCUUGUCCCAGCUCCAGUUCACUCACCACCUGUUCAGGCAGAUGCUCUGGGGCUGCCGUCCCUGAAGUUCCCCUCCCCCCUCCCAUUUCAAUUCCUUUCUAGACCUAAUGCAAUUAAAAAAAAAAAUCUAGUUGUUUACUUGUUUACCGUCUGCCCCUCUACAGCAUGGAAGCUGCACAAAACAAGGGUGUGGGAGCUAGUUUUCCGCUACGUCCCCAGAUCUGGUGGGUGAUAAAGGCAUAGCUCUUGAAGGAAUCUCGAAGCAAGGACAUCUCUUCUGUAGGAGAUUAGGUGGCCUGUUCCCACUACCUCAUUAUCUGAGAUGAGCAGCUCCAUCCAUAUCUCUAACGCCCCCACCCCUCCACAACGAAUGAUUGCUGUUAAAUCUCUACCAUCUGAAAAAUAUCAGGGCUUCCAGUGUAGUGGAUGAUAUCAUAAAUAGAAUUCCUCUUGGGAAAGAGAAGAACAAAUCUGACCCCAUAUUGGAUCUGUUCCUUUAGUUCUAACCUUUGUGCUCUGUUGCCUAUACUUAGUCAUGCUGGCACUCCACCUUUUGUAAAAGAAUGUCGCCUGUAGCCCGAAAUAUUCAUAAUAGCCCUUUCUCAAUGCCCUGCCUCCCAGGCUUGAGCUUUAUAAAAGUAGUAAAAUACCUUUCAUUCAAUAGAGAGAAGAAGUUGUAGGACAGAAAAUGACAACUGCCUUGAAGAUUUACAGAAACAUUGUGACCAGACCUACAGGCACACCUGCAAGAACAAAAGAUUCUGGCAACAAAAAGUCUCCAACAACCAGUCACAUCUCCUGGCUCAUUCCUAGUCCUUUACAUAUAAAAGAAGCUAGAAUUCUAAGUCAGCAGUUUUCGCGACCAAGAAGAGACCUAGAGCAUAUUUCCCACACCCUGAACUGUAUGAAGACCAGGAGCCAUAGAGUUGCCAUUGUGGAUCAGCUGAAACAAAUCUGACUAGCAUCCAUGAGGAUGCAGGUUCGAUCCCUGGCCUCGCUCAUUGGGUUAAGGAUCUGGCAUCACUGUGAGCUGUGGUGUAGGUCACAGACACAGCUUGGGUCUGAUGUUGCUGUGGCAGUGGUGUAGGCCAGCAGCUGCAGCUCUGAUUUGAGCUGGCAUGGGGACCUCCCUUUGUGGCCCUAAAAAGACAAAACAAGACAAAACAAAAAAACCCAAAAAACUGGAGCCUUGGUAUCAGCAGUGGCUCUUAUGCCUGUUUGCCUUCUCAGCAAGCCCAGACAAAUUUGGUUGAGUUUCUCCCCAUCUUAGACCUCCCAUCAUUAGUUGACAAUCUUGAGUUUUAUUCAGUGGUGGAUGAAAUUCUCUCUGUAAUAAUUAGGUUGUCUUUGAGCUUAUGUUCAAAAACAGGUACCUGUAUUUUGCUGUUGGAAGACCCUGGAAGAUUUUGCUCAUUUGAGAGGCACUGAAGUCGCUUGGAUUGGAUGAUUAGGUAGGAGGCUGACCUGACAUCUUUCCUCAAUUCAGCUACCUUAACAGAGUUUCUUGGACUAAAAGUGAAGAUAACACGAGAACUCUUUGCUCCAAAGAUGAGGGAUAGCUCCUCCCAGCUGGUAACAGUUUUCUUAGGCACCUGAGAAGUUUACAGGAGUGGUUGAGGCAUGUUCUCCUGGCACGUGGUGGGCCCAGGGGCAAAACCACUCACUGCUUUAAAGAAACUCACCCAUCCAGGGACACACACAGGUUUGGCCGUCCAGUGUGCCAAGUGCCCAGGGGGGUUUAGAUUGCCCAAGGGAGAAAGAGAUGAGACCUGUAAAAGAGCUGAAAUGACUGUAUGGUGACACCUAGAGGAAUUAAGCUCACCAUACAGUUUCAUUCAUUAGCAAUUUUAUUCUGAAAAACCAACAUUAAAUGGAGAAUAGAGUUUCCCAAAGAAACAAGGGAUGCCAGAUAACCUCUAACACCCCAGACAGAUUUAUAGAAUUUACAUUUGCAAGUACUUACUUGAUUUGGAACUAAAGAAAUCUUGCCCUAAAAUUGGCCAAGAUGGGGCUCUUUGGACAUUCUAAAACUGUGUGUGUGUGUGUGUGUGUGUGUGUGUGUGCGCGCGCGCGCGCUCAUGUGUUCAGUUACAGAAAACCAGAUUGAUAGAACAUCUUUUCAAAAUUCUGAACCUAAGGGAAUAAAACUCCUUCUAGAAGCAACUUGCAGUUUUCUCCCUAUGCUUUUGAGAUGUAAACGUUCUGCCAGGGCUUUCAGGAACUCUUAUCUUAUCUAGACCAUCUCCAAUUCCUGAGACUGAGAAUGGAAAAGAGAGAAAAGAGAUCUUUUUGAAUUGAAAUGAGUUAACAACUUAUUCCAAGGGUUAUAUUUAAACUAUUAAGUUUUAUAUUGUAAUACUUGAUUCAUGACUAAAUCUUAAAAUGAAGUUAUGAAAUUUCUGGUUGUGUCUGUAUAUAUUCUGUGUGUCUGUUUUAGAUACGAUAUGCUCUACCUCUGGAUGGUAUUUCCAAAAUUAAUUUGUAAAAGAACUCUAUUUGGUUGACCUAGAGAAAAUGAAGCACUCUCAUAACUACUCAGAAAUAUCUAUUUUUAAAAAACUAACACAAAUGCAUUUCAAGUUCAUGUGAUUGGGGAGAUAUUUAGUAUUAUAUUAAUAUUUGGUAUUAAGAUUAGCUGAAAUUUAUUGAGUUAGUUACUACAGACAUGACUUUACAGACAUUAAUAUCAAGUAUUUUCUUGUACCUAGGUUUACUAGAAGUCAAGAUCUUGGUUACAAAAUUUUUCAGCAAGAAAAUUAACUUGGUAUGAUGAAAUUUUUAUAAGUAAAUUAAAUAUAAAUGAGACAAGAUUUUCUAGGUGAACUCUUUCAGGAAUAAUUAUGUCUUAUGGUGUGUCUACUUAAAAAUAGUUGCCCCAGAUUUUUAGUAACUUCAAUCUUUACAGUUUUGCUAAAUUAACUUAAAAGAUGAAAGUUUAUUGAUUAUCUAGAUCAUUCCCAGCCAAACUCACCCCAAAUUCCUGAGAAGCAAGAGCCCAUCUACAAGAUAAAAUCAUGCCCAGAGACUAGGAAGUGGGACCCGCUCCUGAACGGACCAUCAUUACAAGAGUGGACUGGGGAUGAAGGUGGAAGAUCCAGGAAGGAAAGGAACUUUUUUUUUUUUGCUGUUUCUACCGAGUCAGGGAAGCUGAGAUAGGUGGAAAUUAAGCCUUCCUAUAUACCAGCAAGUUGCCACUGUUCUUCUUCUUGUGCAGUAAAAAUUUGAAGAU